rnacentral:rRNA from 1 species
UUAGCUUGCUAACUUGAGACCGGCGCACGGGUGCGUAACGCGUAUGCAAUCUACCUUUCACAAAGGGAUAGCCCAGAGAAAUUUGGAUUAAUACCUUAUAGUAUAUAUGAAUGGCAUCAUUUAUAUAUUAAAGAUUUAUCGGUGAAAGAUGAGCAUGCGUCCCAUUAGCUAGUUGGUAAGGUAACGGCUUACCAAGGCAACGAUGGGUAGGGGUCCUGAGAGGGAGAUCCCCCACACUGGUACUGAGACACGGACCAGACUCCUACGGGAGGCAGCAGUGAGGAAUAUUGGACAAUGGGCGCAAGCCUGAUCCAGCCAUGCCGCGUGCAGGAUGACGGUCCUAUGGAUUGUAAACUGCUUUUAUACGAGAAGAAACACUCCGACGUGUCGGAGCUUGACGGUAUCGUAAGAAUAAGGAUCGGCUAACUCCGUGCCAGCAGCCGCGGUAAUACGGAGGAUCCAAGCGUUAUCCGGAAUCAUUGGGUUUAAAGGGUCCGUAGGCGGUCAGGUAAGUCAGUGGUGAAAGCCCAUCGCUCAACGGUGGAACGGCCAUUGAUACUGUCUGACUUGAAUUAUUAGGAAGUAACUAGAAUAUGUAGUGUAGCGGUGAAAUGCUUAGAGAUUACAUGGAAUACCAAUUGCGAAGGCAGGUUACUACUAAUGGAUUGACGCUGAUGGAC